rnacentral:rRNA from 1 species
UACGUAGGGGGCAAGCGUUGUCCGGAAUUAUUGGGCGUAAAGCGCGCGCAGGCGGUCCUUUAAGUCUGAUGUGAAAGUCCACGGCUCAACCGUGGGAUUGCAUUGGAAACUGGGGGACUUGAGUGCAGUAGAGGAGAGUGGAAUUCCUGGUGUAGCGGUGAAAUGCGUAGAGAUCAGGAGGAACAUCAAUGGCGAAGGCAGCUCUCUGGACUGUAACUGACGCUGAGGCGCGAAAGCGUGGGUAGCAAACAGG